UAUGUUAUCGAUUUUAUUAUGUAAUAUAAUUUGAACUUUUUAGGUAAUGGAGCCUGAUCCUUCUAAUCCUGUCCAAUUGUACCAACAAAACACGCAUCGUUCACAGGCGGUAUAGGAUAGUUCAUCCACUAUAGUGUUUGAGUUGUUGGAGGAGGGAGGCGACUGCACAGAGUACUAUUCCAUUUGAUCAUCGCAUCAUUCCAUACGUUCAGAAGGCGGGUUUUCUUGGGGUUGCAAGAUUGGUUUCAUCCAGCUUGAUUGGCACCUGAUUACUGCUCUGGAGACCAGAGACCCACACAUUUCACCUACCCUGUGGGGAAUGCACAAUUACGCUACAGGAUGCCGCCGUACAAUUUGAGUUAAGAAUGGACGGGCAACCACUGACAAACUCACUACAGUAUGAUUGGAAGAACGUCUGUGAAGAGCUCUUAGGCGUUCUACCAGAGGAUCUGAAGGGAUUAAGAUUGAGUAUCCCUUGGUUGGCGUCCCAGUUUCCUGAAUUAUCUCCCGAUGCCGACGACAUCAGCGUACGUAGGUACGCAUGAGCAUACAUCAUGCAGCUUAUUGGAGGAUUUUUAUUUGCCGACAAGUCAAAUACUCUGGUGCAUCUCAUGUUCCUCCCAUAUUGUCUGAUUUCGAGCAGCUGGUACGUACUCGUGGGGUGGUGCAUGUCUUGCAUGGUUGUAAAUUUUGUCGGGUUUCCAAUGCACAAGCAUUGGAAAUAGCGGGCCACUGAUACUAUUACAAGUGUAGACUUAUAAUCGAUUUCCAAUCGUAGCACCACAAGUCCAAACAGGCCCCAGAUCAUCGGCCACUUAGUGCCAGAUGGACUGGUGUAUUAGCUGACUCUGAACAGUCAGCAAAUAUGUUACUCGUGUACAGGAAAACAUUCGACAUGCUGACGCCCAAUCAGACAUUUCGGGAUGCGACAAACGAUACCUUCGUUGUUCUAUACACUUCCAGAACUACACCAGAUCGAUUUAAGAGGUAAGCACGACCAAGACUGGCGUCAAAUCCAUGCGGAGUAUUUAUCCUACUAGCAUGGACGGCGUGAUCGUUGUGCACAAGGAGAAUUAACAGAUGGGCCAGUUGUAUCAGACGACUACUUUCCUCGGUACAAUUCGAUCACGAGGCGAUUUAUCUCACCAGACGGCGCUUACUAUUAUUGCAUGUGCAGAACAACCUUCCAGAAUUGGGUUCAAUGUGUCAGCAAACAUUGAUGAACGUAGAAAGUAUUAUUCAACAAACAAGACGACUCAAUGUUGUUGACACCGAUCGAAGACGUAUUCGUCAUAGAGGACAACGACAACGACAACGGGGUGAACCUAAUUUAGAGGGACACGAAAACAACCCCAUGAGGAGUAAGGGCCAGGGGGGUCGUUUUUAAAUCUCAUAUUAUAUCAUUUUCAAAUUGCA